AAUGAACGCUGGCGGCGUGCCUAACACAUGCAAGUCGAACGAGAAAGGUAGCAAUACUGAGUACAGUGGCGCACGGGUGAGUAAUACACAGGAAUCUGCCUCUGAGUGGAGAAUAUCACCGAGAAAUCGGUGUUAAUACUGCAUAAGCUCGAAAGAGGAAAGGUGGCCUAUAAGCUACCGCUGAGAGAUGAGCCUGUGUCCUAUUAGCUAGUUGGUAGAGUAAAAGCCUACCAAGGCGAAGAUGGGUAGCCGGCCUGAGAGGGUGUCCGGCCACACUGGAACUGAAACACGGUCCAGACUCCUACGGGAGGCAG
rnacentral:rRNA from 1 species